rnacentral:rRNA from 1 species
GUAGGUGGCAAGCGUUGUCCGGGAAUUAUUGGGGCGUAAAGCGCGCGCAGGCGGUUCUUUAAGUCUGAUGUGAAAGCCCACGGGCUCAACCGUGGAGGGUCAUUGGAAACUGGAGAGCUUGAGUACAGAAGAGGAAAGCGGAAUUCCACGUGUAGCGGUGAAAUGCGUAGAGAUGUGGAGGAACACCAGUGGCGAAGGCGGCUUUCUGGUCUGUAACUGACGCUGAGGCGCGAAAGCGUGGGGAGCAAACAGGAUUAGAUACCCUGGUAGUCCACGCCGUAAACGAUGAGUGCUAAGUGUUAGGGGUUUCCGCCCCUUAGUGCUGCAGCUAACGCAUUAAGCACUCCGCCUGGGGAGUACGGCCGCAAAGGCUG